rnacentral:rRNA from 1 species
UACGUAGGCAGCAAACGUUGUUCGGAAUUACUGGGCGUAAAGCGCGUGUAGGUGGUUGUCCAAGUUGGAUGUGAAAGCCUUGAGCUCAACUCAAGAAAUGCAUUCAGGACUGGAUGGCUAGAGGACCGGAGAGGAUAGUGGAAUUCCCAGUGUAGUGGUGAAAUACGUAGAGAUUGGGAAGAACACCAGUGGCGAAGGCGGCUAUCUGGACGGUUUCUGACACUAAGACUCGAAAGCGUGGGGAGCAAACAGG